UUCUUAAGGGUCCUCUCAGGGAGAGAUACAGCUGCACCCCAGGUUGUUGCUGCUCACUAUCAUCUCUCUGGGUGAAGCAGUACUGCUGUUCUUGCUCUGUGCUUGUGUUCUCACAGAAGAGGAGCUCAGGGUGGGGAGGAGGACCCCUCUGUGCAACACCUAUGCAGGUACCAGCUAAAAAACCAGACAUGGACAUAACAAGCCAAUGUGAUAAGGGAGUGUAGAAAAGUAGACAAGUAUAAAGAAGUAAUUUGACAGCACCAUACCGCUCCACCAACAGCCUAACUAGAUGAGUCUCCUGUAAUGAGAUGCUUCAGAAGUUCUUCCCAGGCAUGGAAAGCAGCCUAUGAGGGAGGCUAGCAUCAUGAUUGACUGGAGA
rnacentral:lncRNA from 1 species